CACCUUGACAAAAGGUGGUGAAAAAAUGUAAUCACUGUUUUGAAACACUCCUGCAUCUGUAAGGGUUUAAAAGAAAAAGCCUUCUAACAGCAACACUACAACCUCUUCACUUGUCUCUAAAAAAGCCAACUGAAGGUCAGAUCACUGUAACCAUGCUGAAGGUAGCACUUGUUCUUGGAUGCCUCCUGAGCCUUGUUGUGGCCAAACCUAUGGAGCACCAGCGUUUUGCUCGCUCAGACUCAUCUGAUUCUGACUCAGAUGAGACCACCACGACCACAACCACAGUAGCAGGCGCUACAACUGCUGCACCUAACCUGAAUGCACUCAUUCUUCAACUACUUCAACAAUUACUUAGGCUGUAAUCAUCAAAAUCAAGGCCUGCUGUUUGCCAGAAUACUUCUGUUCACUCAUCAAUUGGAGAACUAUGACUUAUAACUGUCUGUACACUUUAAAAUAAUAAACUGUCAUAAUGCAAA